UACGUAGGGUCCGAGCGUUGUCCGGAAUUAUUGGGCGUAAAGAGCUCGUAGGCGGUCUGUCGCGUCGGCUGUGAAAACACGGGGCUCAACUCCGUGCCUGCAGUCGAUACGGGCAGACUAGAGUUCGGUAGGGGAGACUGGAAUUCUCGGUGUAGCGGUGAAAUGCGUAGAUAUCGAGAGGAACACCUGCGGCGAAGGCGGGUUGCUGGGCUGACACUGACGCUGAAGCGCGAAAGCUAGGGGAGCGAACGGG
rnacentral:rRNA from 1 species